UACGAUUAAGAAAAACACAUCGCUAGCUUAAGGAGCGAUUGCAUCUUAUCCGGUCACUACCUUAUCCUCUCGCAAGCUCCAUCACACAUUCUACCUCCCUCUCUCUGAAACCACCACGAAAAUAGCACCGCACCGGGAAGCGAAGAGAGGAGGAGGAUGCCGCCGCCGAGAACACAACAGCGCGGGAGACGGUCGCCGCCGAGCACGCAGCUGUCGGGGAGGCCGUCCGCCACCGAGGAGGCGAGGACGCAGCACCGGGGGAGGUCGCCGCCGUGUGAGGACGCAGCGGAGAUGCAUGCCGACGAGCGCAUGGAGCCAAGCGUGCGAGGAGGCGGCACAUUUCGAAGUUUUCCGUCGGUGAAAACUCCGGCGAGGAGGUGGUGGUCGUCGUCCAGCAGCAAGCGGGGAGGUGCCGCGCCGAGAGGUGGAGGAACCUGUGGGGAGGCGCAAGAGAAGAGGUCAUGGCCGGUGACUACGGGGACGCUCGCGCCAGCGAGCACAUGGAGCUACCGGACAAGAGGAAGAGAAUGGUUGUUCAUCUGCUUAUGAAAUAGGGACCUAUUUUUGCCAGGUUAAUUAGGUGCAAUUGUCUUGUAAUUGCCGGAUUAAUUAGUCCAGUUGCCAUAUUAGCUAUUCCUGGAUUUAA